rnacentral:tRNA from 1 species
GAGGGUAUAGCUCAGUGGUAGAGUGCAUGCCUAGCAUGCACAAGGUCCUGGGUUCAAUUCUCAGUAUCUCUG